ACGGGCAGACUAGAGUGCGGUAGGGGAGAUUGGAAUUCCUGGUGUAGCGGUGGAAUGCGCAGAUAUCAGGAGGAACACCGAUGGCGAAGGCAGAUCUCUGGGCCGUAACUGACGCUGAGGAGCGAAAGGGUGGGGAGCAAACAGGCUUAGAUACCCUGGUAGUCCACCCCGUAAACGUUGGGAACUAGUUGUGGGGUCCAUUCCACGGAUUCCGUGACGCAGCUAACGCAUUAAGUUCCCCGCCUGGGGAGUACGGCCGCAAGGCUAAAACUCAAAGGAAUUGACGGGGACCCGCACAAGCGGCGGAGCAUGCGGAUUAAUUCGAUGCAACGCGAAGAACCUUACCAAGGCUUGACAUACACGAGAACGCUGCAGAAAUGUAGAAUUCUUUGGACACUCGUGAACAGGUGGUGCAUGGUUGUCGUCAGCUCGUGUCGUGAGAUGUUGGGUUAAGUCCCGCAACGAGCGCAACCCUCGUUCUAUGUUGCCAGCACGUAAUGGUGGGAACUCAUGGGAUACUGCCGGGGUCAACUCGGAGGAAGGUGGGGAUGACGUCAAAUCAUCAUGCCCCUUAUGUCUUGGGCUUCACGCAUGCUACAAUGGCCGGUACAAAGGGCUGCAAUACCGUGAGGUGGAGCGAAUCCCAAAAAGCCGGUCCCAGUUCGGAUUGAGGUCUGCAACUCGACCUCAUGAAGUCGGAGUCGCUAGUAAUCGCAGAUCAGCAACGCUGCGGUGAAUACGUUCCCGGGUCUUGUACACACCGCCCGUCAAGUCAUGAAAGUCGGUAACACCUGAAGCCG
rnacentral:rRNA from 1 species